CUUGCAUUACUCUUAAUAAGAGGUUAUCCCUUCGGGGACAAGGUGACAGGUGGUGCAUGGUUGUCGUCAGCUCGUGUCGUGAGAUGUUGGGUUAAGUCCCGCAACGAGCGCAACCCUUGUCGUUAGUUACUACCAUUAAGUUGAGGACUCUAGCGAGACUGCCUGGGUUAACCAGGAGGAAGGUGGGGAUGACGUCAAAUCAUCAUGCCCCUUAUGUGUAGGGCUACACACGUGCUACAAUGGCUGGUACAGAGAGAUGCAAUACCGCGAGGUGGAGCCAAACUUAAAAACCAGUCUCAGUUCGGAUUGUAGGCUGAAACUCGCCUACAUGAAGCUGGAGUUACUAGUAAUCGCGAAUCAGAAUGUCGCGGUGAAUACGUUCCCGGGUCUUGUACACACCG
rnacentral:rRNA from 1 species